GCAAGAGAAUGAUAGGGGACUUCCUUAGACAAAAACAUUCAGGAUCAGAUCAGGAGGGUGACAACAACAAAUCGCCCGUGUUCUGGAAGCUAAGUGAACGAUAAGCUUAAGUCAUGGAUCAAGGUCCAGGUUAUCGACCUCUGAAGUGCAAGUGGAGAGCUGGAGAAGCACAGUCCCCUCACGUUGGCUUUGUUAUGGUAUUCCAGCCACCUUUCCUUCCCCUUCCGCCCCACCCCCCACCCCGGCUCAACCACACCCAGCUGGGUACCUUAUCCCCUCCCCAGGCCAGCUCACUCCCACUCUGCCUUUGUCUCUACGCGGCAAAGCCGUUUUAUGUGCUCAGGUUCCUGUAGGGUUCCAGUUACAGAACUACUACCAAGGAGAGAGAACUAACCGUGGUUGUAGCACACUGGAGAGGGUUGAAGGAGGAGUGAAGGGAAGCAGAGGAGACUGAACCAGGGAAAAGAACCGACUCAAAGAUUUCUGAGCACAGCUGAGGUGAGCCCAAGACGUUCCGAAGAUCCCCUCUGGUUGCUUGCGGGGGAAGCUAAGAGGGAAGACUGAGCACAAGAGAAGAACUUCUGUUUUCUGAGUAUAGAGCUGUAAUGGAGAGAAAUUGGGUCCUGCUGUAGGGGAGAAGUCAUACAAUGGUGUCUGUAGUAUUGCACAAAACAGUACUUCGUGGAGUGAAAUGAUUGCUGUACUCAGAGAAAGAAGACCUGGGUUCGAAUUCUGGCUCUGCCAGACACCAUAACUUCAUGAUGAUUGAGAAAUCAUAAUUUCUGAGUCUCAGUUUCCUCAUGUAUGAUAAGUAGAUAAUACCUGUUAAACAGUGCCUGACACAUAAUAAUCACUUAAUAAAUGUUUGCUAGACUGAUUAGAACACUUUAAACAUGCUCUAGUUGAAUGU